AGCAAGACUUGCUCAGCCUCCGCCCAGCAGCCGGCUGGGGAAUAGAGGCCGCGAGUGCGGGGAAAGGAAGCCGGCGACAGGCUCGCCACCGGCCACGCCCGCCGUCUCCAGCCCCGGAGUGGAUGCUGGAUGCGGGCUGCUGCGGCCCGGGCCCCAGGGCCGGUCGCGCUCCGGGGUGCGUUGUGGCGCGGGCGGGAGGUGAGCCUGCAAAGACGGAAUCUGGCCUGCGGCAGCGCCGGCUGCCUGCAUCUGUUGCCUGGAGCUGCAAAGAAAGCCCCGAGCAAGCGCGCGGCAUCCGGGAAGGCCUCGGUCCGCGGGGCACGGGAAGCCCCACCCCGAAAGAGCCUUUUGUGCCAACAGGCCACAGUCUGUGAAAGUGUAAAUGGCCCUGUGUAGGCCCCUGUGUCCCCUCUUUAAUGGCCACGCCCACCCGGAGCCCCUGGGGAAGUUGGGCCAGGGGGCGUUCGCUGGUGCCUACAGAUCCGUGGAGGAAAAGCUGUUGGGAUUCCAGCGUCCGCGGAGCCCUAAGGCCUCGCGGCGCUCUUAGCUGGCGCCCCGCACAGCAUCUUGAGGCAGAAAGCGAAAUGAGCUGGAAAGAAGCCAGAGGGACAAAAAAGAGAGCUUAAAUCCCAAAGGUAUGGGAAAUGGUCGUGGAGAAAACCUCUAAUCUCAAGAGUUAAAGACCCUGAAUCCCCAACCGGAGUCGAGUCGCACUUAACCGGCUUUCAAGGUCUCUCCGUGACCCGAUUGAACAGGCCUGGGAGCCCUUGGCUUUGCUGUGAUGCUCUACCUUCAGAAUCCUUGUGGAAGAAAAGAGCUGGCCCAGUGAGUCCCAGGCAGUCUAACCAGGCCACCCCCUUUGGAAGGUUCCCCAGGCGGGUACAAUGACAAACAUCUGGACUGUGGGGCUUCUCUUGCUUGGGAUCACAAUACAUGCGAUUCCUACAUGAUCUAGGCCAGCAAGCAGCACUCAAUCUAUUUAAUCAGCUCACACUCGCUUAGGAAAGAUUAGCUGGAUAAAUUUAGGAUCAUCCUAGGACUAGUGAGGGCCCUGUGUCCCAGCGUCUGCACCUGUCGAUCUUCCCAGACUUAGAGAUGUAAAAUUCACCAUUUCUUUCCUCUCAAAAGUCCCAGAAGGGGACUGUGGAAAUUCAUUAAAGUUCAAUAGAAGCAUUUCCCCCUCCAACUACCUGAUAUGCAGGAGCAAAGUGGACUGAUUAUCCUCAAAUAUUGGACUCAAAUAAGGGAUUUGUCUCGGAAGACAUAAAAUAUGCCUUCCUACCAAGGAAUCCCACCAGUAGGUUCCAGCUUGGAUUUGGGGUGCAUAGAGUAGGGUCUUAUUAAAACCCAAGAAAAAAAUACCCACGUGGCAAACAAGAAAAUAAUGAUAUUCAAAUUAAUUUGAAACAAAAUGGCUCUAAUUAUAUUGCUUUUUUAUAUUCUUGUUAUACUUCCUUGCUCCUGGUUUGAUCUUAAUGGGUUUAAAUAUGUCUUGUUAUUUACUGGUUUGCCAUGGAAUGUUUUGUUUCCUAAUAAAAAGCUCCUGUGAGCUUUUGUCAGACUUAUUUGUGUCAAUCUUAUCUCUAUAGCCAUUGAUAUAAGGUUUCCAGUCAAUGGUAAUUGACAUUUCUA
rnacentral:lncRNA from 1 species